GCCUUCGUGGUGCAAUGGUAGCACACUCGAUGCAUGUUCAAGAGGUCCAGGUUCGAGUCCUGGUGAGGGCA